CAGCAACCUCUCUGGAUGAAGGAUAGCGAAUAGCGAAGAGGUAAAGACUCCAAAAUCCUUCAAGACAAGGAAAGUCUUCCACAUCAUCAUCACCAAGAAAUUAGCAUGUUAAUGAUUCUUGAAACAUAAAAGAGGUGGAAGAAGAAGAAGAAAAGUCAUAAUCAUCAUCGUCAUCUUAGCCUUUUCUCCUAGCGAUUUCAGGGCAUUUAAGUACCUUAUGAGAGUCUGUCAUUGUUAAUUCAACAGUUCAACUCCUGAGCUGACUAAUUACAUUGGUACAAGUAAAACUUAAAAUUAAUACUGAAAGAAGUAUUUUAUUUAUUUAUUUUUUUCUAUUUUCUUCCCUAAUUCCUCUGAUUUAUAUAUGCUCUAUCUUUCUACAUGUUUUGUGUUAUUUUAAAAGGAAAUACAAAAGCAGGAAGGAGACUGAAGUGCCAUAUGCAGAAGGACGGAGAAGUUUACAAUUUCUAUAGUCAUCUUUUCAUUUCUCUAAUAUUCCAUUAUAUUAAAGAUGUUCUGUAUUAAGAUUUGAUUCAAAACUCAGAAAAUCAAAAAGCAACCAUAUUUUUCUGAAUUAAAAUUCCUCAUGUUUGAAGUAAACUUGGAUUCGAGCCUGUCUUUUUAAUGAAAUUCAUUCAAUGCAUUAAAAACAAAAC